rnacentral:rRNA from 1 species
ACAUGCAAGUCGAACGGUAACAGGAAGCAGCUUGCUGCUUCGCUGACGAGUGGCGGACGGGUGAGUAAUGUCUGGGAAACUGCCUGAUGGAGGGGGAUAACUACUGGAAACGGUGGCUAAUACCGCAUAACGUCGCAAGACCAAAGAGGGGGACCUUCGGGCCUCUUGCCAUCAGAUGUGCCCAGAUGGGAUUAGCUUGUUGGUGAGGUAACGGCUCACCAAGGCGACGAUCCCUAGCUGGUCUGAGAGGAUGACCAGCCACACUGGAACUGAGACACGGUCCAGACUCCUACGGGAGGCAGCAGUGGGGAAUAUUGCACAAUGGGCGCAAGCCUGAUGCAGCCAUGCCGCGUGUAUGAAGAAGGCCUUCGGGUUGUAAAGUACUUUCAGCGGGGAGGAAGGUGUUGYGGUUAAUAACCGCAGCAAUUGACGUUACCCGCAGAAGAAGCACCGGCUAACUCC